AGGAUAAACGCUGGCGGCGUGCCUAACACAUGCAAGUCGAACGUCCUACGCAAGUAGGGAGUGGCGGACGGGUGAGUAACACGUGGGCAAUCUACCUUUCGGUGAGGAAUACCGGCGAGAAAUCGCCGACAAUACCGCAUACGCUUCGCAAGAAGCAAAGUCGCAAGACGCCGGAGGAGGAGCCUGCGCCCGAUUAGCUCGUUGGUGGAGUAAUGGUCUACCAAGGCGACGAUCGGUAGCUGGUCUGAGAGGAUGAUCAGCCACAUUGGGACUGAGACACGGCCCAAACUCCUACGGGAGGCAGCAGUGGGGAAUAUUGGACAAUGGGCGCAAGCCUGAUCCAGCCAUGCCGCGUGAGUGAUGAAGGCCCUAGGGUUGUAAAGCUCUUUGUGCGGGAAGAUAAUGACGGUACCGCAAGAAUAAGCCCGGCUAACUUCGUGCCAGCAGCCGC
rnacentral:rRNA from 1 species